rnacentral:rRNA from 1 species
AUGGCUCAAUCAAGCAACACCUUGGUCAGGUCAGACUGGCAUUUAUACAUGGAUAAAUCAAGCAAUACCUUACUCAGGUGGAACAUAUACAGAAAGUUGAGCAGAGUCAUGGUAGGAUAUGUCGCCUAUGUUCAGUUCGAAUUCUCCUCUUUAGACAUAUGUGUGACACAAAAAAAUGAAACAAAACAACUGAAAAUGGACACCGUGGUACACACCCAGGCCACAGUUUCCCCAAUUCACAUACAGAGCCCUACCCAAAAUGGCACCAAAGCUCACACACUGAAGUAUGUAUCAGCAGCUCAGCAUAGCUCGGGGAGCAGGCAAUGGCGUGGCAAGAAUAUCUGA